UACGUAGGUGGCAAGCGUUGUCCGGAAUUAUUGGGCGUACAGCGCGCGCAGGCGGCCUCUUAAGUCUGAUGUGAAAGCCCCCGGCUCAACCCGGGGAGGGCCAUUGGAAACUGGGAGGCUUGAGUAUAGGAGAGAAGAGUGGAAUUCCACGUGUAGCGGUGAAAUGCGUAGAGAUGUGGAGGAACACCAGUGGCGAAGGCGACUCUUUGGCCUAUAACUGACGCUGAGGCGCGAAAGCGUGGGGAGCAAACAGG
rnacentral:rRNA from 1 species